AAUGAACGCUGGCGGCAGGCCUAACACAUGCAAGUCGAACGGAUCCUUCGGGAUUAGUGGCGGACGGGUGAGUAACGCGUGGGAACAUACCCAAAGGUACGGAAUAGCCUCGGGAAACUGGGAGUAAUACCGUAUGUGGUCGAGAGACGAAAGAUUUAUCGCCAAAGGAUUGGCCCGCGUUGGAUUAGGUAGUUGGUGGGGUAAUGGCCUACCAAGCCGACGAUCCAUAGCUGGUUUGAGAGGAUGAUCAGCCACACUGGGACUGAGACACGGCCCAGACUCCUACGGGAGGCAGUAGUGGGGAAUCUUAGACAAUGGGGGAAACCCUGAUCUAGCCAUGCCGCGUGAUCGAUGAAGGCCUUAGGGUUGUAAAGAUCUUUCAGGUGGGAAGAUAAUGACUGUACCACCAGAAGAAGCCCCGGCUAACUCCGUGCCAGCCGCCGCUGUAA
rnacentral:rRNA from 1 species